UUCUUUUUGUUUUUAAUGUGAAGUAUAGCCUGCCCACUGAUUUAUUAAAGGGCCGCGGUAUUUUGACCGUGCAAAGGUAGCAUAAUCAUUAGUCUUUUAAUUGGAGGCUGGAAUGAAUGGCUGGAUGAGAUAAAAACUGUCUUAUUAUAAUUGGUUUAUAAUUUAACAUUUGGAUUAAAAGGUCUGAAUAUUUUUAUGGGACGAGAAGACCCUAUAGAAUUUAAUAACGUGGGUGUUAUGAUAUGUAGUUGGUUUAUUUUGAAUUAAUUUUUAUAGUUAUUUUGUUGGGGAGAUAGUGAGAAUUAAUUAACUCUUAUUUAGUGUUUAUAUUGAUGUAUAUACUUAGGAUCCGUUAUUAAUGAUUAUAAGAUUAAAUUACCUUAGGGAUAACAGCGUAAUCUUUUUGGAGAGUUCUAAUCGAUAAGGGGGGUUGCGA
rnacentral:rRNA from 1 species